AUGGCCGACAUAAAAAAGAAAUGGGCCGAUGCCAAGAGCAUCAACAAGAAGCGAGAAAGUCAGCGUGCCACUGGAGGCGGCGUAGGCGACGAGCCCCGCGAGAUGGAGGAGAGAAUAGUGGUGCUACUCAAAGAGGAGUCGGUGGAGGGCAUCCCAGGCGCCUUUGACAUUGGCGUUGCCCCGAUUCAAGAGGUGUUUGUGGGUGUGCCCUUCUCGCUGCUACUCUCGGGUACUCCUGCCAGGCCGAGCUCAGCAAGGCCAGUUCCCUCACUUGGUGAUCCUGCAAAAUUCCAAAACACCAGGCCGGCUCCGGAAGUUGAUAGCCAAGAAGCAAGCACGAGCACAAGUGGGCAACCAGAAUUGGGUGAUAUGUUGGCCCACUCUUCGGGCAAUCCGAAGUCACGCCAAGAAAAAGGGGACAAAGGACAAACACAAAUCUCCAACAGCAGCUAUGUGAUUGGGAUCAAGGAAGACCCCACAUGAAAGAUCAUUGAGGGACAACAGGCUAUCACAGCCCGCUUGGAUAGGCUUGUGGAACUGCACGAACAGAUGGUGGCUCUAAAAGCUUACAAACUUAAUAGGGUGCCACACAAGGGCAGGAGGACGGUGCCCAAAAGCGCUGCCAAGUUCACCACAAAGCCAUCAUCUGCUCCUGCAGUGAACCAAGGUGCCGGGGUGUCUCCUGUGGGACCACCACCUGCUGUCUCGGACGACGAAAGCACUGCCGAGGCUUCCAUCACUGCCACCUCACCGGUGACAUACAGUGUGCUGCGCCACGUAGAGGCCAUGUGCUCAACCUGCGACUGCAAGAGAACCAUGAAAGAGCAGGGCGUGUAG